rnacentral:rRNA from 1 species
UAAGGAAUAUUGGUCAAUGGACGCAAGUCUGAACCAGCCAUGCCGCGUGAAGGAUGAAGGUCCUCUGGAUUGUAAACUUCUUUUAUAUGGGACGAAACCUCUUUUUCUAGAGAGACUGACGGUACCAUAAGAAUAAGCACCGGCUAACUCCGUGCCAGCAGCCGCGGUAAUACGGAGGGUGCAAGCGUUAUCCGGAUUCACUGGGUUUAAAGGGUGCGUAGGAGGGCAGGUAAGUCAGUGGUGAAAUCUCCGAGCUUAACUUGGAAACUGCCGUUGAUACUAUCUGUCUUGAAUACCGUGGAGAUGAGCGGAAUAUGUCAUGUAGCGGUGAAAUGCUUAGAUAUGACAUAGAACACCAAUUGCGAAGGCAGCUCGUUACACGAAUAUUGACUCUGAGGCACGAAAGCGUGGGGAUCAAACA